ensembl:misc_RNA 7SK 7SK RNA
GGAUGUGAGGGCGAUCUGGCUGCGACAUCUGUCACCCCAUUGAUCGCCAGGGUUGAUUCGGCUGAUCUGGCUGGCUAGGCGGGUGUCCCCUUCCUCCCUCACCGCUCCACGUGUGUCCCUCCCUAAGCUGAGCGAUCGGUCGAAAAGGACAACCUUCCCCAGAAUAGAGAUGGGCCGGUCUUCAGUCAAGAGUAGCUGUGCUCCCCUGCUAGAACCUCCAAAGAAGCUCUCAAGAUGUUGGGUGUGGCCUGGAGAAGGAAGUUUGGCACAUAGAUCACAGGACUUGUCUGGGU